AAGUCGUAACAAGGUUUCCGUAGGUGAACCUGCGGAAGGAUCAUUACAAAUUUCGUUGGGCAAGCUGGGAGGUACGCUGGGAUGCGCAGAGGGGCGACUCUCUGUGUGUUCACGCCACCCCCCCUUCUUCCCACACUUUACGCUUGUUGUGUUUGACAGAGUUAUUUUACACGAGACAAAAUAUAGACAACUUUUAACAAUGGAUCUCUUGGCUCUU
rnacentral:misc_RNA from 1 species